GACGAACGCUGGCGGCGUGCCUAAUACAUGCAAGUUGAGCGCUGAAGGUUGGUACUUGUACCAACUGGAUGAGCAGCGAACGGGUGAGUAACGCGUGGGGAAUCUGCCUUUGAGCGGGGGACAACAUUUGGAAACGAAUGCUAAUACCGCAUAAAAACUUUAAACACAAGUUUUAAGUUUGAAAGAUGCAAUUGCAUCACUCAAAGAUGAUCCCGCGUUGUAUUAGCUAGUUGGUGAGGUAAAGGCUCACCAAGGCGAUGAUACAUAGCCGACCUGAGAGGGUGAUCGGCCACAUUGGGACUUGGACACGGCCCAAACUCCUACGGGAGGCAGCAGUAGGGAAUCUUCGGAAAUGGACGAAAGUCUGACCGAGCAACGCCGCGUGAGUGAAGAAGGUUUUCGGAUCGUAAAACUCUGUUGGUAGAGAAGAACGUUGGUGAGAGUGGAAAGCUCAUCAAGUGACGGUAACUACCCAGAAAGGGACGGCUAACUACGUG
rnacentral:rRNA from 1 species